GAUGAACGCUAGCGGGAGGCUUAAUACAUGCAAGUCGAGCGGCAAGGUCUUCGGACCCUAGAGCGGCGCACGGGUGAGUAACGCGUACGCAAUCUGUCCUUCAGUGAGGAAUAGCCCUGGGAAACUGGGAUUAAUACCUCAUAAUAUUGUUUGUUCGCAUGGACGAAUAAUUAAAGUUCUGGCGCUGAAGGAUGAGCGUGCGUCUGAUUAGCUAGUUGGUAGGGUAACGGCCUACCAAGGCGACGAUCAGUAGGGGGCGUGAGAGCGUGACCCCCCACACGGGUACUGAGACACGGACCCGACUCCUACGGGAGGCAGCAGUAAGGAAUAUUGGGCAAUGGAGGCAACUCUGACCCAGCCAUCCCGCGUGAAGGAUUAAGGCCCUAUGGGUUGUAAACUUCUUUUGUUUGGGAAGAAAUCAGGACAUUUAUGUGCUGUUGACGGUACCUUACGAAUAAGCACCGGCUAACUCCGUGCCAGCAGCCGCAGUAAAAC
rnacentral:rRNA from 1 species